rnacentral:rRNA from 1 species
UUAGUAACGGCGAGUGAAGCGGCAAAAGCUCAAAUUUGAAAUCGGCCACCAGGUCGAGUUGUAAUUUGUAGAUUGUAUCUUGAGAGCGGAUUAAAGUCUGUUGGAACACAGCGCCUUAGAGGGUGACAGCCCCGUAAAAUCUAUUCUCAUUGUAAGAUACUUUCGAAGAGUCGAGUUGUUUGGGAAUGCAGCUCUAAGUGGGAGGUAAAUUCCUUCUAAAGCUAAAUAUUGACGAGAGACCGAUAGCGAACAAGUACUGUGAAGGAAAGAUGAAAAGCACUUUGAAAAGAGAGUGAAAAAGUACGUGAAAUUGUUAAAAGGGAAGGGUAUUGAAUCAGACUUGGUGCUGUUGUUCAACUGUGUUUCGGCAUAGUGUACUCAGCAGUACUAGGCCAAGGUGGGGUGUUUGGGAGUGAAAAAGAAGUUGGAACGUAACUCUUCGGAGUGUUAUAGCCUACUUCAUAGCUCCUCAGGCGCCUCAGGACUGCGCUCGCAA